rnacentral:rRNA from 1 species
AUGGGCUUCCUCAAGCCACAAAUCGUGUCCGCCCUCAAACACUCGCCAAGCCGGCACACGCCCCCACGCCCUGAUCCGCACAGACCACGGCGCUACCACCUAACGCAGCGCGGCAGCGCGCGGCUCUACUGCCUCUUCCCGACGGUGGUGCGGCCUCGCGGUGUGGUCCUCGGCCUCGGGCCGACUCCCCGCGGCACGAUGGCAGUACCUCUUGGCCAGAACAUGGAGGAACUCUGA